rnacentral:ncRNA from 1 species
UAAGAUCCGAUGAURGGAUAAGUACAUGUAUGAGCUAUUUGACAGAGAGCCGGGAGAGCUGGGAACCGGUAGUAGAACAACAUGGAAAAUGGUCCUGGAGGUAUCAUCUUCGAGCAUGUAUGUGUUGUAAGGGGAUGACGUAGCUGGCGUUWACAGACGAAGUCAUGGACUUCAUGAGCCUUUCUGCUGUGAAGAGAAAGGGAAUGUUGGGUGGUACCGCGUGAGAUAUGCUCUCGUCCCGAUU